CUUUUUCAAACACUGUUCUGAGACGUAGGCUACAGCCAAGGAAGUUAGUUUGGGGAGUGGGGGUCAGUUUAUGCACAAGGAAGUGAAGGUGGACAACAAAAACAUGAUCUUUGACUGGAAUUGCUCAUUUCAUUCUGUUCACAGGUCCAGGGGAUUCAGUCACAGCUGUCACACAUGGACAGUGGAGGAGGAACCAGAGACCUGUCCAAACACACUGUGAUUGGCUGCAUGGCAUACUGACAAGGAGGCACAUAAAGAGUAUCCUAUACCGCUGAUGAAUAUAACUGGAAACCUGUUCGAUCACCAUGCACUGCAAAAUCUUUCUGGCUAUGGAUGCGAAGGAUAUCAACACGCUGGGGUGGGGGGGUACAGACUUCCUAUCUAACUCAGUUGCCGGAGAGGAAGGAAACCGCUCAAGGAUGGAUCAAUAUCAUUGUAGUUACUCCCAAAAAUAUCCGUUUGCAACAAGGCACUAAAGUAAUACUGCAAAAAUGUGGCAAAGCAAUUAACUUUUUGUCCUGAAUACAAAGUACCUCUGAGGAAGCACAGUUCCCGCUCAG